AGCAGCCGCGGUAAUUCCAGCUCCAAUAGCGUAUAUUAAAGUUGUUGCAGUUAAAAAGCUCGUAGUUGAAUUUCGGGACUAAUAUGUCGGUCGUGCCUCGGUACGUACUGGUUUAUUGGUUUCUCCUUUCUGAAGAACCAUGAUGUCAUUUAUUUGGUGUCGUGGGGAAUCAGGACUGUUACUUUGAAAAAAUUAGAGUGUUUAAAGCAGGCUUUAGCUUGAAUACAUUAGCAUGGAAUAAUGAAAUAGGACGUUCGAACCUAUUUUGUUGGUUUCUAGGAUCAACGUAAUGAUUAAUAGGGAUAGUUGGGGGCAUUAGUAUUCAAUUGUCAGAGGUGAAAUUCUUGGAUUUAUUGAAGACUAACUACUGCGAAAGCAUUUGCCAAGGAUGUUUUCAUUAAUCAAGAACGAAAGUUAGGGGAUCGAAGACGAUCGGAUACCGUCGUAGUCUUAACCAUAAACUAUGCCG
rnacentral:rRNA from 1 species